UACGUAGGGUGCGAGCGUUGUCCGGAAUUACUGGGCGUAAAGAGCUCGUAGGUGGUUUGUCGCGUUGUCCGUGAAAACUCACAACUCAAUUGUGGGCGUGCGGGCGAUACGGGCAGACUAGAGUAUGCAGGGGAGAACGGAAUUCCUGGUGUAGCGGUGAAAUGCGCAGAUAUCAGGAGGAACACCGGUGGCGAAGGCGGUCUCUGGGCAUUACCUGACGCUGAGGCACGAAAGCGUGGGGAGCGAACGGG
rnacentral:rRNA from 1 species